GCCUUCUUAGCUCAGUGGUAGAGCGCAUCACUCGUAAUGAUGAGGUCACCUGUUCGAUACAGGUAGGAGGCA
rnacentral:tRNA from 1 species